rnacentral:rRNA from 1 species
GAGUUUGAUCGUGGCUCAGAUUGAACGCUGGCGGCAUGCCUUACACAUGCAAGUCGAACGGCAGCAUGAUCUAGCUUGCUAGAUUGAUGGCGAGUGGCGAACGGGUGAGUAAUACAUCGGAACGUGCCCUGUAGUGGGGGAUAACUAGUCGAAAGAUUAGCUAAUACCGCAUACGACCUGAGGGUGAAAGUGGGGGACCGCAAGGCCUCAUGCUAUAGGAGCGGCCGAUGUCUGAUUAGCUAGUUGGUGGGUAAAGGCCCACCAAGGCGACGAUCAGUAGCUGGUCUGAGAGGACGAUCAGCCACACUGGGACUGAGACACGGCCCAGACUCCUACGGAGGGCAGCAGUGGGGAAUUUUGGACAAUGGGCGAAAGCCUGAUCCAGCAAUGCCGCGUGUGUGAAGAAGGCCUCGGUU